rnacentral:rRNA from 1 species
UACGUAGGGUGCAAGCGUUUGUCCGGAAUUAUUGGGCGUAAAGAGCUUGUAGGCGGUUUGUCGCGUCUGCUGUGAAAUUUCGGGGCUCAACCCCGAACUUGCAGUGGGUACGGGCAGACUAGAGUGUGGUAGGGGAGACUGGAAUUCCUGGUGUAGCGGUGAAAUGCGCAGAUAUCAGGAGGAACACCGAUGGCGAAGGCAGGUCUCUGGGCCAUAACUGACGCUGAGAAGC